UUAGAGGGUCGGCUUCAAAUGGGUGCAAAGGAUAACGUUAGGGUGUAUAGGGUAGGCUGAAACAAGGAAAAAUAAAAAAUCAAAGUAUGUGUGGCAUUUUUUUUGGGGGGUAGAAGGAAUGGAUGCUCGGAAGUAACAAGAAAUAAUAACAAAAUAAAACUCACAAGACUUUUCACUUCUUUUUUUUUUUAUACUUCGAUUUUUUUCACUUCAAAUACAAUUGAAUAAUACCAAAAUAUCUUCAAAAUUCACGAAAUCCUCUUCUGUUUUUUUCAAUUUUUUUCAAUUUUUUUCUUCCGAAUUUCUUCUCUUUUUUUUUAAUCCAAUACAAUUGUAAACUAAAUACAAGGAAGAAAAAAAAUUAAAUUC
rnacentral:lncRNA from 1 species